UUUCUACUCCCUCCGCCCGAAAAUAUUUCUCGUCAAAAUGAACAAAAAGGGAUGUAUCUAGGACUAAAAUACAUCUAGAUACAUUUCUUUUUAUCCAUUUUGAUGACAAGUAUUUCCGAACGGAGGGAGUACUUU
rfam:Triticum urartu cultivar G1812 contig497083, whole genome shotgun sequence.